rnacentral:rRNA from 1 species
UACUCAUACGCUUGUCUCAAAGACUAAGCCAUGCAUGUUUUAGUAUAAACAAUUUUGUACCGUGAAACUGUGAAUGGCUCACUAUAUCCGUUCUUGUGUACUCGAUAGUACCUUUAUACUUGGAUAACCGUAGUAAUUCCAGAGUUAAUACAUGCAACAAUACCCCAAUGCUCGGGGACGGGUAGCCUUUAUUAGAUUGAAACCAAAGCAACUCUCGGGCUGGUAUUGUGUUGAGUCCUAAUAACUGUGGGGACCGCACUUAUGUGCGGUAAAUCGAUUGAGUUUUUGCCCUUUCAGCUUUGGAUGGUAGGAUCUGGGCCUACCCUGGCAUUUACGGGUAAAGGGGAAUUAGGGUUUGAUUCCGGGGAGGGAGCCUUAGAAACGGCUUCCACAUUCAAGGAAGGCAGCAGGCGCGUAAAUUACCCAAUCCUGACACAGGGAGGUAGUGACAAUAAAUAACAAUGCUCUGGCUUUUCGGGUCGGGCAAUUGGAAAGGGAACAAUUUAAAUCCCUUUACGAGGAUCAAUU